rnacentral:rRNA from 1 species
GAUGAACGCUACGGGCAGGCUUAAUACAUGCAAGUCGUACGGGAUCCGAGGUAGCAAUACUUUGGUGAGAGUGGCGCACGGGUGCGUAACACGUAUGCAACCUACCUAUAACCGGGACACAACCUCGAGAAAUUGAGGCUAAUAUCCCAUAACACUGCGAGAUGGCAUCAUUUUGCAGUUAAAACUCCGGUGGUUAUAGAUGGGCAUGCGCGACAUUAGCUAGUUGGUGAGGUAACGGCCCACCAAGGCUACGAUGUCUAGGGGUUCUGAGAGGAUUAUCCCCCACACUGGUACUGAGACACGGACCAGACUCCUACGGGAGGCAGCAGUAAGGAAUAUUGGUCAAUGGGCGCAAGCCUGAACCAGCCAUGCCGCGUGAAGGAUGACGGCCCUAUGGGUUGUAAACUUCUUUUGUACGGGAAAAAACCUCUGGUCGAGAAUCAGAGCUGAUGGUACCGUAAGAAUAAGCAUCGGCUAACUCCGUG